UAACCUACCUAUAAGACUGGGAUAACUUAGGGAAACCGGAGCUAAUACCGGAUAAUAUAUUGAACCGCAUGGUUCAAUAGUGAAAGACGGUUUUGCUGUCACUUAUAGAUGGAUCCGCGCCGCAUUAGCUAGUUGGUAAGGUAACGGCUUACCAAGGCAACGAUGCGUAGCCGACCUGAGAGGGUGAUCGGCCACACUGGAACUGAGACACGGUCCAG
rnacentral:rRNA from 1 species